rnacentral:rRNA from 1 species
AUUGAACGCUGGCGGCAGGCCUAACACAUGCAAGUCGAACGGUAGCACAGAGAGCUUGCUCUCGGGUGACGAGUGGCGGACGGGUGAGUAACGUCUGGGAAACUGCCCGAUGGAGGGGGAUAACUACUGGAAACGGUAGCUAAUACCGCAUAACGUCGCAAGACCAAAGUGGGGGACCUUCGGGCCUCACACCAUCGGAUGUGCCCAGAUGGGAUUAGCUAGUAGGUGGGGUAAUGGCUCACCUAGGCGACGAUCCCUAGCUGGUCUGAGAGGAUGACACGCCACACUGGAACUGAGACAAGGUGCAGAAUCUUACGGGAGGCAGCAGUGGGGAAUAUUGCACAAUGGGCGCAAGCCUGAUGCAGCCAUGCCGCGUGUAUGAAGAAGGCCUUCGGGUUGUAAAGUACUUUAAGCGGGGAGGAAGGCGGUGAAGUUAAUAACUUCACCGAUUGACGUUACCCGCAGAAGAAGCACCGGCUAACUCCGUGCCAGCCGCCGCCGUAA